CNGGCAGUGUUGAAUUCUUGGGCUUAA
rnacentral:piRNA from 1 species